AGCCUCAGCUGGAGGUGGUGAUUUAUGAGAAGAAAUGGAUGUGAUAAGAAAGGAGUCAUGCUUAUGGGAUAGAUGAAAAUUGCCAUGAUCUGAAGAGGGAGGAUUUAUUUGUGUCCUCCUUCUAUAUGAAAUGACUGAACAGAAAAUU